GCGCAAUUGGCGUAGCGGUUAAAAGCGUCCACACUUGACGUGUAAGACCCAGGUUCGAGUCCUGGAUUGUGCA
rnacentral:tRNA from 1 species